UUGUGUUUAUGUGAUAAAUAUUUGUGGAUGAAUUGUUGAUGAAUGUUUCGUGAUAGAAUUCUCGUUUUAAGGCUUUCUUUAAGUUUUACAAAGUUAAACGAUCAGAUAGCUUUUGUUAUGCGAUCAUAUAGAGUUUACUACACAAUCGUAUAGCAUUUGCUAAACGAUCGUAUAACUAAUGCUACACGAUCGUUUAGAGUUUUUUACACGAUCUUGUUUCGUUGGCUGCAUGAUUAUGUAGGCGCUCGCUUACUAGAUGAUCACGCAGUAUUGGAUACUCGAUGCAUCCUUGCGCGCUAAACGAUCGUGUAGCACCGUCCAUCUAUGGCUUCUUCCCUGCAGAUAGAUAGUUUUUGGUAUGACUAUGUAUGGAUGUGAAUAUUUCUCUACCACUGAUAGACAAUGAUACACAUAUAUAACUGUCUAUAAGUUAUACAAAGUGAUAGAGUUUUAUCACUUUCUAUCAGUGAUAGACAGUGAUAUAGUUCUACCACUGUCUAUCGCUGAUAAAAAGUGAUAAAACUCUAUCAUUCUCUAUAACGGUUAUUGAGCUUUAUCACUAGUGAUAUACCGUUCUUGAUAUAUUGUAAUUGAGCUCUAUCAUUGUCUAUCACUGUCUUUAUACAUAUUAAGGCUUUCUUUAAAUUUUAGAAAGUUAAACGAUUGGAUAGCUUUUGUUAUGCGAUCAUGUAGAGUUUACUACACGAUCGUGUAGCAUUUUCUAAACGAUCGUAUAGCUAAUGCUACGCGAUCGUGUAGAGUUUUUUACAUGAUCAUGUUGCAUUGGCUGCAUGAUCAUGUAGGCUAAAUGAUCGUGUAGCACUGUCCAUCAAUGGCUUCUUCCUCGCAGAUAGAUAAUCUUUGUCGUGACUAUGUUUGAAUGUGAACAUUUCUCUACCAUUGAUAGACAAUGAUAGACAUAUAUCACUGUCUAUAAGUUAUACAAAGUGAUAGAGUUUUAUCACUUUCUAUCAGUGAUAGACAGUGAUAUAGUUCUAUCAUUGUCUAUCAUUGAUAGAAAGUGAUAGAACUCUAUUACUCUCUAAAGCAUGAGCUGCAAGCCAUGCACUCCACUUCUUUGCAUGCUUUUCUAGUAUAUAUAAAGAAGAUUGGAGUCAUUUGAGGAGAAUGAAUGCAGAUUUUUUGAGAGAAAAAUUUUUGGGAGAAGAGACUGUCUUCUUUGAUCGGCUACUGUGAGUUCUUCUUUGUUCUUCACUUCUUCAAGUUGUUCUUGAGUCCCACAACUCUGCCUAAAGCUCCAAGAGGAUAGUAGGGAAGGCUUUGAGGUGGUUCACGAUGAUAUCAAGUGAAGACUGCUGCUGUACACACGGUUUCUUGGAGAGCUCAUCAAAGGGGUCCAAGAAGUCUUGUUCCUGAGCUUGUGGGAGGAACCUUGCAUGGGAUGGUCAGAGGGUCGACGGGCCUAGCUUCUAAGCCCAUGAGAGGGAGAAUUAUGUGCACAUAAGUUUAUGAAUGUUAUAAAUGUGAAAUCUUAACUAUCUACCGUGUGUGUAGGUAAGUUUGUGAAAAGCUUUCAUUCAGGAUGGAGGUUUGCGUAGUAACCUCAAGUUAUGAUGUUUGUAGCAAAAGAGUCCAGGUUGCAGGAAGUGGUCGAGGUCUGCCACAAGAUAGAAUAAUUACUAGAAUAAAGUUUGUAGUCGGGAUGGGGCUGCUAUUGUAAAACACAGUUUAAAAUGUAUAAACUUGUUUCCUAAACAAA